rnacentral:rRNA from 1 species
AUCGAACGCUGGCGGCAUGCCUUACACAUGCAAGUCGAACGGCAGCACAGAGGAGCUUGCUCCUUGGGUGGCGAGUGGCGGACGGGUGAGGAAUACAUCGGAAUCUACUCUGUCGUGGGGGAUAACGUAGGGAAACUUACGCUAAUACCGCAUACGACCUACGGGUGAAAGCAGGGGACCUUCGGGCCUUGCGCGAUUGAAUGAGCCGAUGUCGGAUUAGCUAGUUGGCGGGGUAAAGGCCCACCAAGGCGACGAUCCGUAGCUGGUCUGAGAGGAUGAUCAGCCACACUGGAACUGAGACACGGUCCAGACUCCUACGGGAGGCAGCAGUGGGGAAUAUUGGACAAUGGGCGCAAGCCUGAUCCAGCCAUACCGCGUGGGUGAAGAAGGCCUUCGGGUUGUAAAGCCCUUUUGUUGGGAAAGAAAUCCAGCUGGCUAAUACCCGGUUGGGAUGACGGUACCCAAAGAAUAAGCACCGGCUAACUUCGUGCCAGCAGCCGCGGUAA